rnacentral:rRNA from 1 species
UACGAAGGGGGCUAGCGUUGCCCAGAAUUACUGGGCGUAAAGGGAGCGUAGGCGGGUUAUCAAGUUGGAGGUGAAAGCCCAGGGCUCAACCUUGGAAUUGCCUUCAAAACUGAUAGCCUAGAGUAUGAUAGAGGUAAGUGGAACUCCGAGUGUAGAGGUGAAAUUCGUAGAUAUUCGGAAGAACACCAGUGGCGAAGGCGACUUACUGGAUCAUGACUGACGCUGAGGCUCGAAAGCGUGGGGAGCAAACAGG